rnacentral:misc_RNA from 1 species
GACGAACCGUGCGAACGUUAUUCGGAAUCACUGGGCUUAAAGCGCGCGUAGGCGGCGUCGUAAGUUGGAGGUGAAAGUCCGCGGCUCAACCGUGGAAUUGCCUCCAAUACUGCGGUGCUUGAGGGAGGUAGGGGUCUGUGGAACUUCCGGUGGAGCGGUGAAAUGUGUUGAGAUCGGAAGGAACGCCAGUGGCGAAAGCGACAGACUGGAUCUCUUCUGACGCUGAGGUGCGAAAGCUAGGGUAGCGAACGGG